GAUACCUCUUGCGUUUCUUGCAGAUCCCCUGCCUGCAGCACGUGCUGAUCUCCAAGGGUGAGGCUGGAUGAAGCCAGGGGCUAUGGAAAGGGAGACUGUUUCAGAGGACUUGACACCAUCUUCAGUAAUUUCUCUGGUUCUUGGCAGCUCCAUUUGGCUGCGUCCCUACCCUGCAUAACCCUCCCAGCUAGUCUACUCCAGGGCAGCAUCCAGCUGGUGACCUGAGAGGGCAGUGGCGCACCAGUCUCCAUGAAGGUUGAGCUCCGAUGGCCAACAGCCAUUUCCACCUUGUGGUCUACAACUCUUCAUCCCGACUGCAUGGAGGUUGGUCUCUCUCUUCAGCUGGAUUUAGGCCACCAUCUGAGCCCCCGGGGUACGUUUUGUCUGACCCUGGCGCCAUUCGAACGGUUCUUCUACAGCAUCAGGAGAACCUGGCUACAAGUCCCAGCCUUUACCAUGGAGGCUGAAGGUGUGGGGAGGGACUUCAGCCUUCUCCUCAGCCCUGCCCUUACUCUGAGACAAGGAGCACCCCUGGCACCGCAGUGAGAUCUCUGCCCUGCCAGCAGGCAGAGCCCUGGCACAGUCCUUUGCCCCAUCUCUUCUUCCCUCUACUAUUCAAGGUGGCUUACUUUGAAUCCAUUCUUCCUGUCAGGCCAUUGUUCCUUAUCCUCAUUAAAUCUAUGUUUCUUUAGAAAAGCAUUUUUAAAAAA
ensembl:lncRNA PPP1R3B-DT PPP1R3B divergent transcript